GGUGGCUGACUUAGAGCAGCCGAAUAGGGAAGCUUGGAAAGAGUUUAAACAAUAUGAAUAUAUUAUCAAUCAACAUAAAAUAGAUAAUUAUAGCUUAUUGGCUAAGAUGGUGGUUAGGCCAUCUAAAUAUUUGGAUUCAAAACCUCAUGUUCGUAUAUAUUUAAAAUCAAGUUGGCAAUGGAUUGGAUAUAGGCCAGAUUGGCCAAUAACCAUAUUCAUCUUGUCAUUAAAAAGUUGAUAUACAUAUCUAUCCAUUAUCUAUCUUGGAUCGAAUCAGUCAGAUAGGAGGAUUUGAGUCAAAUCAGAUU
rnacentral:lncRNA from 1 species